UACUCAGAGUGUAAGGUACUAGCCAAUGGUGUUAAAAGUAUGGACAUCUUGCCCUACUUUAGCUGAAUUUCAGUAAUCAUGGCAUAAAUGGUUUGGAAGAAUUUUGUCAUUGUUGUGGCAUCAUCACUGCAAUUGAGGAGGCUAUUUUUAGGACAUCUAUCACAUUUACAUAGGUUGUUUCAAACCCUGUGAACCAUCUAUCAGCCAUGCCUUGAGCUGAAAACCCCCGAGGCUGGGGUGAUAGAUUUGACUGGCAUCCUGAGAGAAGGAGAUGGUCUACAGAGUGAUUGGUUAACAAACAAUGAGCUGAGUGAGGGAUGUAAAUUCCCAGAGAGAGUAAGAUAGCUGUAGGGUCUUUUAAAGUAUGAAGAGAUUCAUCCAUUUUUUCUGCAAACCACUUCAAUCCAUCAAAAGGAAGGUCCUCAGCUGUAUUUCGGACUUCCCUCAGAAAACCGAAGAGCUAAAGCCAGAAAACUCUCUUCAUGACUACCACUGGAGAUAGAAUGAGCGACUGUAUCAGUGGCAUUCAGAGAGACCUGCAGAGAUGUUCUUGUGUGCCAUUGGCUCUUUUCAAUGACCUCCUGGAAUUGCUCACUCUGGUUUGUU